rnacentral:rRNA from 1 species
AGCGGCGAACGGGUGCAUAACACGUAGGUAACCUGCCCCUAGGACCGGGACAACCUGCUGAAAGGCGGGCUAAUACUGGAUAUGACCGACUCCCUCGGGUGUUGUGGUAAAAGGUGGCCUCUCCCCACCAAGGGAUGGGCCUGCGCACCAUUAGCUAGUUGGCGAGGUAAAAGCUCACCAAGGCUUCGACGGGUAGCUGGUCUGAGAGGAUGUCCAGCCACACUGGGACUGAGACACGGCCCAGACUCCUACGGGAGGCAGCAGUAGGGAAUCUUGCGCAAUGAGCGAAAGCUUGACGCAGCGACGCCGCGUGCGGGAUGAAGGCCUUCGGGUUGUAAACCGCUUUCAGCAGGGACGAAAUUGACGGUACCUGCAGAAGAAGCCCCGGCCAACUACGUGCCAGCAGCCGCGGUAAUACGUAGGGGGCGAGCGUUGUCCGGAUUUAUUGGGCGUAAAGAGCUCGUAGGCGGUUCGGUAAGUCGAAUGUGAAAUCUCCACGCUCAACGUGGAGGGGUCAUUCGAAACUGCCGUGACUUGAGUACGGUAGGGGAGUGUGGAAUUCCCGGUGUAGCGGUGAAAUGCGCAGAGAUCGGGAGGAACACCCGUAGCGAAGGCGGCACUCUGGGCCGAUAC